rnacentral:tRNA from 1 species
GUCAGGAUGGCCGAGCGGUCCCAGGCGCUGCGUUCAGGUCGCAGUCCGGUCUUCCGGGCGUGGGUUCGAAUCCCACUUCUGACA